UUUUAUUAACAAUUGCUUUUAAAGUAAAAUUCAGUUCAAUUAAAUCAUUUGACUAUCAUGUUAUAUGAAUAUAAAUGUUUCAGUAUAGCUAAAGUUAUUUUAAAACCAUCAGAAAGUAUCCAGGUGAUUUUAUCCCAGUCUGCACUGAUGUGAAUGUGUUUCCACAGUGUAUGACUAGUUACAGUGAUUUUACCCGCUCUGCACUAUUGUGAAUGUGUUUCCAUAGUGUAUGACCAGAUUAUGAGAGGUCUAUGGGACCCACUCUCGUACACACAUAGGCUUUGGACCGUGUACUAGGGUGAUUAGCCUUUGGGGCAGCUCUGUGUACGUAUGACCAGAUUAUCAGAUUAUCAGAUUUGAAUGGCUUUGCCUUGUACAUCGAGAUUACUCUGUACAUGAGUAAGGCUAUUCAUUGGGUACUCUUUUUGGUGUGAUUUUUCAGUAUUUGUUCUAUUAUCAGAUUUCAGAUUAUGGAAUUCAGUUAAUUCAGUUUUCAGAAUAAAGCUUUCAGCUUAUAGUAUUAAGGCAGCAAUAUUUCAUAAUUUUUCAUGGAUAUCAGAGUAUUUAUAGUCAUUAUGUUAUACAGUUGCCUUUCUAGAAUUAUGUCCAAGAAAUUAUGAUAUGAUCAUGUUUAGUUUUUAAAAGUGUUACUAUUUUUCAGAAGUUCUUAACGUUAAUUAGUGCAAGAAUUUUCAGAAAAUAGCAUAAAUGGAA
rnacentral:lncRNA from 1 species